rnacentral:pre_miRNA from 1 species
CACCUUCCCAGGCUGCUGGCCCCAGGCUGGGCCAGGCCGGACGAGUGUCUCUUCGAAAGGCUCCCCCUCAAGCAGGACUAGGAGC